rnacentral:rRNA from 1 species
UACGGAGGGAGCUAGCGUUAUUCGGAAUUACUGGGCGUAAAGAGCGCGUAGGCGGUUAUAUAAGUUGGAAGUGAAAUCCCAAGGCUCAACCUUGGAACUGCUUUCAAAACUAUAAAACUAGAGAUUGAUAGGGGAUAGCGGAAUUCCUAGUGUAGAGGUGAAAUUCUUAGAUAUUAGGAGGAACACCGGUGGCGAAGGCGGCUAUCUGGAUCAAUACUGACGCUAAGGUGCGAAAGCGUGGGGAGCAAACAGGAUUAGAUACCCCU